rnacentral:lncRNA from 1 species
ACUAAAGCACAAGUCACUUGACUAAUAGAAUUGUGACAAAUGGAAAAGAAAAUUUUUUUAAAAAAAACAAUUGAUUUAAAAGAAAAUCUCUUACAUUCCUAAUUUUUAGCAAUUUUCUUUAUACACGUUCAAAGUCACUUGACCAUGAUUUCAAACUGUUUUUGAUUUUCCUCUUUUAUAUAAUUUACUCUCUGUUUCUUUUUUCCUCAAUUUUUCU